GGCUCGCAGCGGGCCUUGGCUGCGGGGGCCUCUGAAAAACAAUAUGGGACCGUGUAAUUAAAGACACCCAUAAUGAGGGAUGCUCAACAGAGGAAGAAAAGUUCUGUUCCUGCUCUCCAGACACCUCAUUACCUCCCCGAAGUCCUAACGGGGCAAUAGUGAAGGUGCCUUGAUGUUCGUAUGGCCAACAGGAAGAAACCAGGUUGUUUCUUUCCCUCUCUUAUGUGUUCCCUUGUGAUGGAAGAUGACCUUUUAAUGUUUUCCCCCUCUGUAAGAGUUUGUUCCGUCUCUUUGUUAAUUAAAUGAAAAU